GAGAGAGAGAGGAAGCAACAUGGCGACUGCGAGCGACCUGAAGCGGGACGCCGGCCAUUCGCUUUGAGCUUUCUCGCGUUAACCGAGUCCGUGGCUUCGCUGGACUACAGCAUCUGUAUCUCUGCGAGUUGAGCUUUCCGUCGGUGCCUGAAAAUUCGAGUUUUCUGCACUUCCGGUGCGCGCUAGGACUGAAAAAGAAAAGAAUAGGUUUUUCUAUGUGUAAUGAGGGGGAGAAGAGGCAGGCCGCCCAAAACCCUGCUGAUGCAGGAGCCUUCUCCAGGGCCGGUGCGCGGUCUCAGACCCCGGAAAGGAUUAAAGGGGAAGGGAAGAGGGGGCAGCGACGACGAUUUUGUGACACCCAAGCGGGGGAACCCUCAUUCAUCGCGGGGGAAGAGGAAAGCUGGAUCCGCGACAUCGCGCGGUAGAGGCAGGGGCAGAGGAGCUGGAAGAGGCAGGGGGAGACGGAGCACCGCGAGCGCCGUGGUUUACGACGACCACGAGAGCGAGGAAGAAGAGGAUGCGGUGAGCUUAGCCUCGGAGGAGGAUGACUACAUGGAAGAGGAGCCUCUCACGGAGGAAGAUGAUGAGGUCAUCGACAACGAGUCGGACUAUCUCGAAGAGCUGCCCCAGGAUGAGGAUGAUGAUGAUGCCAGCUACUGCACCGAGAGCAGCCACGACAGCACUCCAGGCCGGAGGAGACGGCGAGCCCGUCGGCCACCCUCUCCUGUCCUGGAGCAGAAAGAGAUCCCUCCUCUGGAGCUGCCUAAAUCCUCGGAGGACCUGCUUAUCCCCCCUGAGCAGCUCCUGAACGCUUCAGCCGUGUACGAGGUACUGCGCACUUUCAGCACAGUGUUACGUCUCUCGCCUUUCCGCUUUGAGGACUUCUGUGCAGCGCUGGCAGGCCAGGAGCAGUGCGCGCUGCUGGCUGAGACGCACAUAGCGUUGCUCAAGGCCAUCCUGCGUGAGGAGGACUCCUCCAACACCACGUUUGGGCCGGCUGACCUUAAGGACAGCGUCAACUCUACUCUGUAUUUUGUGGACGGCAUGACGUGGCCCGAGGUGGUGCGAGCAUACUGCGAGAGUGAACCCGAAUAUGGCGGUGCUGCACUCGAGCACCUCGAGGCUGACGAGUACCCGUAUGGGCCGCUGGAGAGCAAGGUGAAGGUGCUGCAGUUCCUUGUGGACCGCUUUCUCACCACUAACAUGGCCCGUGAAGAGCUGAUGAGCGAAGGAGCCGUGCAGUACGACGACCACUGCCGCGCGUGCCACCGUCUCGGUGACCUGCUCUGCUGCGAAACGUGCUCAGCUGUCUACCACCUGGAGUGCGUGCGGCCGCCUCUGGAGGCUGUGCCUGAGGAUGAGUGGCAGUGUGAGAUAUGUGUAGCACAUCGUGUGCCUGGUGUCAGCGACUGCAUCACAGAGGCCCAGAGGAGUCGCCCGUACCUUCGACAGGAGCCCAUCGGAUACGACCGGCACCAACGGAAGUACUGGUUCCUCAAUCGCAGGGUUAUUGUGGAGGAAGAUGGUGAGGAGGAGAAAGGGAAGAGGAUCUGGUACUAUAGCACUAAAGUGCAGCUGGGGGAGCUGAUUGAGGUCCUGGAUAAGGAAUUCUGGGAGAAUGACCUCUGUGCUAUGCUGGAGGAGCUGAAGGAGGAGAUCCAUGCGCACAUGGACAUCACGGAGGACCUCACCAACAAGGCUCGUGGCAGCAACAAGGCCUACCUCACUGUCGCCAACGAUGAGAUCCUGGAAAAACAGAAGGCUCAUCAGGAGGAGCUCGAUGAGGCAAGACGGAAAGCUGUAGAGAAGGACAGCCUUGGGUCAAAGGUCAACGAGGGGUCUGAGGGUGAUAACACAGCCUCAUCUAUUGCCGACCUGUCUUCUUCUCAGCCAGACUCUGAAAACGGGAAUUCGGCCAGUGACAAGCUUAUAGCUGAUGCCCCAGCUCCUCCUGCUGGUGAAGAGAGUAACAGUGCGUGUGAGCACCCUCAGGCCGACUCUUCUGGCCCGUCUAAAGCUGACCCUCCACCCUCAUCUGCUGCAGAGGACCCUGGGGAAGGGGCACAGAGGGAUUGGGCAGAAAAAAGCUCCGAGUCGGGUUGUGGAGGCAAUGGAGAGCCUGUCCUGGAGAGCGAGCCACCGCAGAUUGCUGAUGAGAACAGCUGCAGCAGCCACUUCUCAAUUUCUGACUGCUUGAGGGUUCCUGAGGAGCCUGACCUCGCAGACCGUUCUUCUCAGUCCUCACUUAACAGCCAGGACGAUGCUGGUGAAGGUAAAGGAAAUGGCGAAGGUGGAAAGACAGGGUCAGCAACACGCAUGGUGACACGUCUCCGAAACCCAGACAGCAAAUUAAGCCAGCGCAAGGUCAUGCAGGACAAGGACACCAGCUCACAGGACAGCAAAGCACUUAAAGAGACUCCCCUGUUGUCCAGCUUGGUCAGGAAAGACCUAGGCCUGAAGACCAGCUCGAGCAGCGGCUUCUUCAAGCUUGGGCAGGAGGGCAAAUUCCGUGUCUACCACAACCAGUACAGCACAAACGCACUGGCGCUUAACAAACAUCAGCACCGUGAGGACCACGACAAGCGACGGCACCUCUCCCACAAGUUCUGCAUGACGCCCGCGGGCGAGUUCAAGUGGAACGGCUCAGUGCACGGCUCGAAAAUGUUGACUGUGUCCACACUGAGACUAACAAUCAUCCAACUAGAGAACAAUAUCCCUGCACCUUUCCUGCAUCCCAACUGGGCAUCACACAGAUCCAAUUGGAUAAAGGCUGUCCAGAUGUGCAGUAAAGCGAGAGAAUUUGCCUUGGCAUUGGCCAUUCUGGAGUGUGCGAUCAAACCAGUGGUCAUGCUCCCAGUGUGGAAGGAUUCUCUUGGUCACACAAGGCUCCAUCGAAUGACCGCUAUGGAACGGGAGGAAAAGGAGAAGGUGAAAAAGAGGGAGAAAAAGCUUGAGGAUGAAGAGACAAUGCAGCAGGCAACAUGGGUGAAAUACACUUUCCCCAUUAAGCAUCAGGUGUGGAAACAGAAGGGCGAGGAGUACAGAGUGACUGGCUAUGGUGGCUGGAGCUGGGUCAGUAAAACCCAUGUCCCACGCUUUGUCCCUAGAUUACCUGGAAACACAAAUGUCAACUAUCGAAAAGCACUUGAAGCUGCUAAUACUCUCAAGGAAAAUCAAACAUCCUGCCCAGAGAAAUGCCAAAACCCAAUCCUUGAAACCCCAAAGGAACACUCAUCUAGAGAGGAGCAAACACUCAAAGAGGAGGAUGAACAAAAGGGAGAAAAGAUGGAGGUGGAUGAGAAGGCUGUGGCCAAGAGUGAUGAGCUUAACAAAGAUGAAGCUUCUAAAAACAUGGACACGAGCACCCCUGACGUCCCUAGCCCCAGUGAAGAAAAAGUUAACAUUAAAAGCACUCCCUCACCACUGAAGAAUGAUCAGUGUGUGAAAGGGGAAUCUAUUGAUUGUGAAGAAUCCAAAGUUAGUGCAGCAGUUCAGCCUCAGGCAUCAAUCGAAGAUGAUGUUGUGAAUGUUAGCCAGGGCUUUCAGCUGCGCACAGCCUAUAAGAAGAAGGGCAAAGGAUCAAAGCUGGACGGUCUUCUGGAGCGGCGGGUCAAACAGUUUGCGUUGGAGGAGAAGCAGAGGCUGGAGAAGCUCAAGCAAGUUUCUGCCUCAAAACCCACCACUGAAAAUGGAACAAAGGAUCAGGAGAAGACCAGUCCAUCUCUGAACCAAGAGCUUAAAACUGAAGGACCUUCUUUUGAAGCUACAAGAAGUGUUCUGUCUGAUAAGGCAGCAAACCCACUAGUGAAGGAAAAAGACCCUGUAGUACAAAAACUUGACUUUGACCAAGAUGAGCAGGUGACGCAUAGUUCAUCAGAACAGACUGAAAAUCUUGAUGUCAGACUGGGAUCCAGUGUAAAGACUGAAGCAGCUGCAUCUCUUGCAGAAAAAGAGCAGAAAGUAGCACCAGAACCAGAGCACAAAACGGGGAAUGGCACGUUAAUGCCCGAUGCUGAGCUUAAUGGAGAUUCUCGGAAAGAUCUGGAGGGCAGCCUGAACUUAAACAGCAAAAUGACGUGUCUGAAAUUUGAGGGUGCAGAGAAGAAGGAUAUGACUGAAAACAGUUCUUCCAUGGGCGAGAAUGGCUUAAGUAUCGAAACGAAUGUGCCAGUGCAUGUCAAUGGGAGAGACGGUUCAAUGGAUUCACCGCCCACGAAUCUGACCAAUAAUAUCAACUCGAAAGAAAUGAAGCAGAAUAAAGAGGAAGAGACAAAAACACUUCCCUCAAAGGAUCUCAAAAAAUCACUAAUGAAUGGUGACCUGACUCAAGGCAGCCAGAAUGAGAAAGCUCAGCCUAAUGAGGAGACACGGAUGGACAAGUCAAACUUGGAGUAUCUGGUGUCUCAGAAAGAUGCCAGUCUGGACAGCAGCACUGAGGGCAUAGCUGACUCUGCUAUUAGUUCUUCUCCCUCCCAUCUCUCCCCAGCAGAAAAUGCCAAGCCAGAUGGGCUUAGUAGCAAUAGUAAGAUAUCACCAAUGGAGACUGAAGAGGCCAAGUUGAAAACUCUUAGCCCAUCGCCCAUUCUGUCAACGGAGGAGUCCAGCCUAAGCAGUGAUGUUGCUGAGAAUAGCACUAACAGUGGUAGCGGGGUCAAGACCGUAAUUACGCAAGUCACCACAACUACCACUACAACCACUACAGUGUCCACAGAGUCACACACUGCUGAAGCAUCCCACUUGCCUGAUGGUACCACGAACAGUCAAGCUUCUUCAACACUGGCAUCAGCUGAAUCAAAAGUAGAAUCCACCAUGUCAGUCUCUACUCUUUCCACUACAACCACCACCACGGUAACCAAGGUUACAAACCCAACUCAUGGAGCCAGAGUUACAGAGCAGAGCAAGACCAUUGUCACAGCAAUGUUUACUGAUGCUAAAUCAGCACCCUCAAGUACCUCGGUGACCUCAGUCACCCUGUGUAAGGAGUACUCCACCAGAGACAGAGUGCGGUUAUUGAAGUUUUCUCGCUGCAAGAAGACUCGGUCUGGUACAGCUCUGCCUUCAUAUCGCAAGUUUGUAACAAAGAGCAGCAAGAAGAGCAUUUUUGUGCUUCCCAACGAUGAUUUAAAGAAGCUUGCGAGGCGAGCGGGUAUCCGAGAGGUGCCCGUGUUUAAUUAUAAUGCCAAGCCAGCUUUAGACAUCUGGCCCUAUCCAUCCCCAAGACCCACAUAUGGAAUCACAUGGAGGUACCGGCUUCAGACAGUAAGGUCUUUGGCUGGAGUGAGUCUGAUGUUGCGCCUGCUUUGGGCAUGCCUCAGGUGGGAUGAUAUGUCCGUGAAGCCCUCUGCUGCUGUUGGAACCACACGCACAGAAACUUCUGACACUGAGAUAACGACAACCGAGAUUAUUAAACGAAGAGAUGUGGGACCUUAUGGUAUCCGCUCAGAGUAUUGCAUCAGGAAAAUUAUUUGCCCCUUGGGUGUGCCUGAGACUCCCAAAGAGACCCCCACACCCCAAAGAAAGGGUCUGCGCUCAAGCGCUCUGCGGCCAAAGAAACCAGAGCCCUCUAAGCAGACGGGACCUGUUGUGAUGGAGAACUGGGUACCAGAGGAGGAGCUGGAACUGUGGGAGAUUCGAGCCUUUACUGAAAGGGUUGAGAGGGAAAAGGCACAAGCAGCAGACCCAGCUAAGGUUAGUGUGCAGAAGACAGCUGAGGAGGUCAAGGCCCAGUUGGAAGCUCAACUAAAGCAACAAAGAUUGGCAGCCCAGCAGAAACGGUUGGAGCAGCAGAAGGCUGGAGGAACUACAACCCAAUCCAACAUGAGCAGCGCACCUACCAGCAGUGCAUCAUCCACCCAGAAGGUGGUGGUAGGUUCUCUGACCAAUCCAGUCACCCCUGGGACAAAAGUGGUGCUUGCCACCAAGUUAGGUACUCCGGUGCAAUUUCAGCAGGGCAAGAACUUCCAGCAGUCUUUCGCCUCCUGGGUCAAGCAGGGCCAAAGCAAUACAGCCUCCACUACUUCCGUUACCACAGUGGCGACGAGUAGCGUCAGCACAUCUGGGCAAACGUUCCAGAUCGCUGCUGCGUCAGGCUUGAUGACUGGCAAUGUCAUCACCGCCAAACUGCCUCUGCCGGCCAACAGCAAGAUAGUCACAGUGAACGUGCCAACCACGCAAGGAGGUGUUGUUCAGGUACAGCAGAAAGUUGUAGGCAUCAUUCCAUCCAGUACAGCAGCCACGGCUCAGUCGUUCUCCUCAUUCCAGCCCCGUUCGGGCACCGUCAACAUCCGACCCAACACCAGCACCUCCACACAGCAGGCCACCACUACUGGAACCCCUGUCCGGCCUGGGAUGACGGUGGUUCGUUCACCCCUCCAACAGGCCACGACUUUGGGCAAGACCAUCAUACGCACACCGCUAAUGGUUCAACAAGGUCAGGGUCAGCAGGUGGUAACUCAGAUCAUCCGAGGAACGCCUGUAUCAAAGGCUGUAAGCAGCAGUACCCCAACACAGGUGGUGGGUUCUACCCCUCGACCCUCCACCCCAGGGCAGCCCCAGACUCCACAGACCCCCAGCAGCACCCGACCACAGCAAGGCCAAGUUAAACUCACCCUGGCUCAGCUAACACAGCUCACGCAAGGAGCUCAGGGUGGGAAUCCAGGUUUGACUGUUGUGAUCCAAGGUCAGGGGAAGACCACAGGGCAACUGCAGGUCAUCCCACAGGGUGUGACCGUGAUCCCAGGUCCUGGUCAACAGCUCAUGCAGGCAGCUAUGCCAAAUGGCCAGGUCCAGCGCUUCCUCUUCACUCCUAUGCCCCCAGCACCAGCUACUCCAGCUCCCACUGCAUCCGCACCCAGCACCUCAGCCACUCCUGCUAGCAGCAGCACAACUACCACCACUGCCGCGGGACCUACAACACCAGCGCGGCCAGCAAUACAACCUGCAGCUCCUGUCUCACCCAUAGUUCAACCCUCCAGCCUUCCCUCAUCUCCACCCUCUCUUUCUAAAUCCCAAGCUACGUUACAGCCAGCCACCACAUCCCAAACGGCAGCAUCAUCUGCUCCAGUUCCUACUCUGCAAACUCAGUUUUCUUCUCCACAGGCCCUGCUGCAACCACAGUCCAAAAUCCAACCCCAAACUCAGUCAAAACCACAAAGCCAGUCCCAAGCCCAACUACAUCAAACCCAGCCACAAGCCACAACCCAACCCACAGUUCAAAACCAGCUACAGCAACAGCCCCAAAUCCAGUCCCAAACCCAGCUGCAGCACCAACUUCCAUUACAACCUCAAUCACAGCUCCAAAUCCAGAGUCAACAGCAAGCCAAACUCCAACCCCUGCAGCAACUUCAGCCUCAGCAACAGACUCAAACCCAGUCACAACUUCAGCUUCAGCAACAGACUCAAACCCAGUCACAACUUCAGCUUCAGCAACAGACUCAAACCCAGUCACAACUUCAGCUUCAGCAACAGACUCAAACCCAGUCACAACUUCAGCUUCAGCAGCAGACUCAAACCCAGUCACAACUUCAGCUUCAGCAGCAGACUCAAACCCAGUCACAACUUCAGCUUCAGCAGCAGACUCAAACCCAGUCACAACUUCAGCUUCAGCAGCAGACUCAAACCCAGUCACAACUUCAGCCCCAACAGCAAGCCCAGCCCCAACUUCAGUCCCAACAGCAAGCCCAGCCCCAACUUCAGCCCCAACAGCAAGCCCAGCCCCAACUUCAGCCCCAACAGCAAGCCCAGCCCCAACUUCAGCCCCAACUUCAGCCCCAACUUCAGCCCCAACUUCAGCCCCAACAGCAAGCCCAGCCCCAACUUCAGCCCCAACAGCAAGCCCAGCCCCAACUUCAGCCCCAUCUCCAACUUAAGCCUCAACAACAACUCCACCCUCAACUCCCAAUUCAGCCUCAACAGCAACUAAAAUCCCAACUUCAACAGCAACCCCAACCCCAGGCACAGCAGCAGCCCCAACCCCAGGCACAGCUUCAGCCUCAGCAGCAGCCCCAACCCCAGGCACAGCUUCAGCAGCAGCCCCAACCCCAGGCACAGCUUCAGCAGCAGCCCCAACCCCAGGCACAGCUUCAGCCUCAGCAGCAGUCCCAACUCCAGGCACAGCUUCAGCCUCAGCAGCAGCCCCAACCCCAGGCACAGCUUCAGCCUCAGCAGCAGCAGCCGCCCCAGGCACAGCCUCAGCAACAGCCCCAGGCACAGCCUCAGCAACAGCCCCAGGCACAGCUUCAGGCACAGCUUCAGCCCCAGGCACAGCUUCAGCCUCAGCCCCAGGCACAGCUUCAGCCUCAGCUUCAGCCACAGCAGCAGCCCCAGGCACAGCUUCAGCCACAGCAGCAGCCCCAGGCACAGCUUCAGCCACAGCAUCAACUCCAAACCCAGGCACAACUUCAGCCUCUACAGCAGCCCCAACCCCAGGCAAAACUUCAGCUUCAACAGCAAACUCAACCCCAGCCACUACUUCAGCCCCAACAGCAACUCCAACCCCAGCCACAACUUCAGUCUCAACAGCAAUCACAAUUUCAGUCUCAACAGCAAUCACAGCUUCAGUCUCAACAGCAACUCCAACCACAGCUUCAGUCACAACAGAAAUCUCCUCUCCAUUCCCAGCCACAACUUCAACCCCAACAGCAACCCCAGCUGCAACAUCAGACUCAACAGCCACAAAUCCUGCCUCAAAAGCCUUCCCAUGUUCAACCGCAGCCACAGCCCCAACCUCAGUCUCAUUUGCCUGUUCAAACCCCAGUUCAGCCAACUUCCCCAUUACCUGUGUCUCAUGUAGCCCAAGUGACUUCUCCUCAAACACAGGUAGCCUCCAUUGCUGUAGCCCCACAAGUAACCCAGACCACGGUAACUCAGGUUCGGCCUCAGAUCCAGCUCCCAGCCCAGCUUCUUAGUGUUCCAGGGAUCCAGCAGCAAGUCCUGUCCCACAUCCAGAACCAAGUGGCAGCACAGCUCCAGGCCCAGGCCCAGCAGGGUACCCUUCCCCAGCAGAUCAAACUGCAGCUGCCUAUCCAGAUCCAGCAGCAGGGUGGAGGCCAGGUGCAGACACAUCAGAUCCAGAAUGUGGUGACUAUUCAGACAGCCAGCGUCCAGGAGCAGCUCCAGCGCAUCCAGCAGCUUCGAGAUCAGCAGCAGCAGAAGAAGAAGCAGCAAGAGGCUAAGAGAGAUCAGGCUCAACAGGCUACCAGUCAGAGUGAACUGCUGCAGAAGCAGGUGGUCAUGAAGCAGAAUGCAGUCAUAGAGCAUUUAAAGCAGAAGAAAGCCAUGACACCUGCAGAGAGGGAGGAGAAUCAGAGGAUGAUCGUGUGUAACCAGGUGAUGAAGUUCAUACUGGAUAAGAUUGACAAAGAUGAAAAGCAGGCAGCCAAAAAGCGGAAACGGGAGGAGUCAGUGGAGCAGAAGCGCAGCAAACAGAAUGCCAGCAAGCUCUCGGCUCUGCUCUUUAAACACAAGGAGCAGCUGAAAGCCGAGAUCCUGAAGAAGAGAGCACUGCUGGAUAAAGAGCUACAGGUGGAGGUGCAGGAGGAGCUGAGGAAAGAUCUGAGCAAGCUUAGAAGAGAGAAGGAAAAAGCCCAGGCUGCAGCAUCUCAAGCAUCUGCCACAGCCAUUAGUGCCCAGGCAGCUUCACUCUCCACACACUCCUCCACGAUCACUUCAUCCCCGUCCAACCAUAAACGCAAACGAGAUGAGGAACGUGAUGCAGCCUUGUCUAAGAGCAAGAAGAAGAAGAUGAUCUCCACCUCAUCGAAGGACAACAAGAGAGACACAAAACUAUACUGUGUAUGCAAAACACCCUAUGACGAAUCCAAGUUUUAUAUUGGCUGUGAUCUCUGUUCAAACUGGUACCAUGGGGAGUGUGUGGGCAUCACCGAGAAGGAGGCCAAGAAGAUGGAUGAUUACAUCUGUAUGGAAUGUAAAAGAGCACAGGAAGGCAGCUCAGAGGAACUCUAUUGCAUCUGCAGAACACCAUACGAUGAAUCGCAGUUCUACAUUGGCUGUGACCGCUGUCAGAACUGGUACCAUGGACGCUGUGUGGGUAUUCUGCAGAGUGAGGCGACUCACAUUGAUGAAUAUGUGUGCCCUCAGUGCCAGUCUACAGAGGAGGCCAUGACUGUCCUGUCCCCGCUCACAGAUAAGGAUUACGAGGGUUUGAAGCGAAUCCUCCGCUCCUUACAGGCCCACAAAAUGGCAUGGCCCUUUCUGGAACCAGUGGACCCUAAUGAUGCUCCAGAUUACUAUGGGGUCAUAAAAGAACCAAUGGAUCUGUCCACAAUGGAACAGAGGAUACAGAAACGAUUUUACAACAAGUUAACGGAAUUUGUAGCGGACAUGACCAAAAUUUUCGACAACUGCCGCUACUACAACCCCAGCGACUCACCUUUUUACCAGUGUGCCGAGUUCUUGGAAUCCUUCUUUGUACAGAAGCUCAAAGCUUUCAAAGCAAGCAGAUUGAUGUCUUGAGUCUGACGUAUAGCUGGAAUCUAUGCUGAAGGGGUGGAGUUUCUCUUUUAUAAAUACAUGGAACUUACUGCUUUAUGAGCAGCUGAAACUCCACAUGAUUUUUUUUAUAUUUAAGUUAAUUCGGUAAUUUUUCAUCGGAGGGGGGGGAGAGAACUCAUUAAAAGGCAAAGGUGUCCCAAGCAUGGCUUCAUUGACAAUCGCAGAAUGGCAGCCAUUUUGUUCAUGAAUCCAAGAGAUAUGUCUUAAGAGCAUCUAAGAUUAUGUGGAUUUUUUUUAAAAACCCUAUUGUUCAUAAUAUUCACAUAUAUUAGUCAUUGACAUUUUAUUUGUAUAUGCCUAAAGGCAAUGCCUUGAUUUCUUCAAAUGUGUUUACUUUGGCACUGGUAAAAUAUUUUGUAUAUUUUAUUGUAAGAUGGAUUGGAUCGGUCUCUUAGGCAGCCUUUUCUGGUUCAUCUACGUGUCCUGGACUAAUGCAUUGGUUUAUCAUGUGCUCUUUCAGGUCUCAUAACAACAAACUACAGUCUUCAGCUUCAUAGAAUACAACCACACGUGGUGCUAACGCACGUCUGUAAAGGAUAUGUUUGGGGGGAGGGGGGGGGACUCUGAACAGUCAAUCCAAGGGAACCAGGCAUCUUUUAUGUCAAAGAUGCCCUUCACAUUCUCCAUUUUCUUUCUCUCUCGACCCAAACCGAUGGUUCUUCCCCAGUCGACCAGCAACGCACAUGACUGCAGUGGUUAAAGCAGCGUCUCUUUGACCUGCCCUGCUCUCUGACUGUGGAGUGAACGGGCAGCGGAGGGAUUACAUGAAGCAUUUUGUAACAUUUGUUACCUCAAAGCAAUGACUUUUGGAUGGACCUUUUGUGUUUUUUAAAUCAUGUUUGCAUAAUCCAGGGUCCAGGUCUACAUAUACCUUUCAUGACAAUAGACAAUGACAUGUUUUCCUGUGAUGUGCAAGAAUUAGGUGGAUCCUGGACACAACUGACUGUGUUUGAUGAGCAGUUGGUUUUGUGGUGGAUUAGAGUUCAGGAUGCCUGAAAGAGUAAAUUUAUUCAGAUGCAGGUUUUUAGCUGUUUCAUGCCAAGUGACUGAAGCAGCUAAAAACCAAGAUCAGUUGGGAGGCAUUCUGUUUGUAUGUCUAUUCUUCCUUUUUCUUUCUUUUUUUUGUAAUACAGCUGAAGAAAUAUUGAUGUAUAUGAAUCGUAAAUAAAUGGAAAGAGUUCUCUUUCCCACACUUAAAA